CCCGACGACGACGGGUAGCCGGCCUGAGAGGGCGACCGGCCACACUGGGACUGAGACACGGCCCAGACUCCUACGGGAGGCAGCAGUGGGGAAUAUUGCACAAUGGGGGAAACCCUGAUGCAGCGACGCAGCGUGCGGGAUGACGGCCUUCGGGUUGUAAACCGCUUUCAGCAGGGAAGAAGCCUUUCGGGGUGACGGUACCUGCAGAAGAAGUACCGGCUAACUACGUGCCAGCAGCCGCGGUAAUACAAA
rnacentral:rRNA from 1 species